rnacentral:tRNA from 1 species
CAAAAAAUAGUUUAUUUAGAAUGUUAAUUUUGGAGAUUAAAGGUGUGUAAAUUACAUUUUUUUGA